rnacentral:rRNA from 1 species
AGCGGCGAACGGGUGAGUAACACGUGGGUGAUCUGCCUCGCACUCUGGGAUAAGCCUGGGAAACUGGGUCUAAUACCGGAUAUGACCUUACAUCGCAUGGUGUUUGGUGGAAAGAUUUAUCGGUGCGAGAUGGGCCCGCGGCCUAUCAGCUUGUUGGUGGGGUAAUGGCCUACCAAGGCGACGACGGGUAGCCGGCCUGAGAGGGCGACCGGCCACACUGGGACUGAGACACGGCCCAGACUCCUACGGGAGGCAGCAGUGGGGAAUAUUGCACAAUGGGCGAAAGCCUGAUGCAGCGACGCCGCGUGAGGGAUGACGGCCUUCGGGUUGUAAACCUCUUUCGACAGGGACGAAGCGCAAGUGACGGUACCUGUAGAAGAAGCACCGGCCAACUACGUGCCAGCAGCCGCGGUAAUACGUAGGGUGCGAGCGUUGUCCGGAAUUACUGGGCGUAAAGAGCUUGUAGGCGGCUUGUCGCGUCGAUCGUGAAAACUUGGGGCUCAACCCCAAGCUUGCGGUCGAUACGGGCAGGCUUGAGUACUUCAGGGGAGACUGGAAUUCCUGGUGUAGCGGUGAAAUGCGCAGAUAUCAGGAGGAACACCGGUGGCGAAGGCGGGUCUCUGGGAAGUAACUGACGCUGAGAAGCGAAAGCGUGGGUAGCGAACAGGAUUAGAUACCCUGGUAGUCCACGCCGUAAACGGUGGGUACUAGGUGUGGGUUUCCUUCCACGGGAUCCGUGCCGUAGCUAACGCAUUAAGUACCCCGCCUGGGGAGUACGGCCGCAAGGCUAAAACUCAAAGGAAUUGACGGGGGCCCGCACAAGCGGCGGAGCAUGUGGAUUAAUUCGAUGCAACGCGAAGAACCUUACCUGGGUUUGACAUACACCGGAAACCUGCAGAGAUGUAGGCCCCCUUGUGGUCGGUGUACAGGUGGUGCAUGGCUGUCGUCAGCUCGUGUCGUGAGAUGUUGGGUUAAGUCCCGCAACGAGCGCAACCCUUAUCUUAUGUUGCCAGCGCGUAAUGGCGGGGACUCGUGAGAGACUGCCGGGGUCAACUCGGAGGAAGGUGGGGACGACGUCAAGUCAUCAUGCCCCUUAUGUCCAGGGCUUCACACAUGCUACAAUGGCCGGUACAGAGGGCUGCGAUACCGUGAGGUGGAGCGAAUCCCUUAAAGCCGGUCUCAGUUCGGAUCGGGGUCUGCAACUCGACCCCGUGAAGUUGGAGUCGCUAGUAAUCGCAGAUCAGCAACGCUGCGGUGAAUACGUUCCCGGGCCUUGUACACACCGCCCGUCACGUCAUGAAAGUCGGUAACACCCGAAGCCGGUG